rnacentral:lncRNA from 1 species
GCCGGCUUUGGGCAGAGGCAGCCAGGGCGCCGGAAGAGGCCUGGAAAUCCACGCGGCUUCCCAAAGACGGCGCCUCUGUUCUGCGGGUUCGUGACGAGGAUUUAUUUCCACCCACUGCGCCUGGGCGCAGGUCUGCGGGUCCGCGCCCACUGCGUGCGGCGCCACGGACCAUGUCGGUGACUGAUCAGGCUUUUGUCACACUGGCCACAGAUGACAUCUACUGCCAGGGCGCCCUGGUCCUGGGGCAGUCACUGAGGAGACACAGGCUGACGAGGAAGCUGGUGGUGUUGAUCACUCCUCAGGUGUCCAGCCUGCUCAGGAGCCCCUUGGUCUUCAUGUCUUUGGUGUGUGCACUCUUGAACACUUGCCAGGCACACAGGGUGCAUGACAACAAGCCUAAUAUUAUCCUGAUCAUGGUUGAUAACCUGGGUAUUGGAGAUCUGGGCUGCUAUGGCAAUGACACCAUCAGGACGCCUCACAUCCACUGCCUUGCCAGGGAAGGCGUGCGACUGACUCAGCACAUCUCUGCCACCUCCAUCUGCAGCCCAAGCUGGUCCGUGUUCUUGACGGGAAGAUACCCGAUCUGAUCAGAUGAAGAACACAGAGUGUGGAGACAUGAAGAGGCUUUGAUGAUGUUUCACCAUGUUGCCCAGGCUGGUCUCAAACUCCUGGUCUCAAGCUAUCCAGCUGCUUCAGCCUCCCAAAGUGCUUGGAUUACAACCAUGAGCCACCACACCCAGUCCUCCUCUCCUCUUCUUAUAAGGGUGCCAGUCACUAAAUUUAGGGCCUACUUAACCUGCAAAGAUUCUACUUCCAGAUAAGGACACAUUGUGAAGUUCCAGAUGGCCAUGAAUUAUGAAUUAUCAGUGGAGAAUACUACUUAGCUCACUACAACGUGCAAAAGUGCAAGGACAUACCUUCUGUAAUCUUCUGUGACCAGAGGAGGGAAAGAGACUCAAAAAUAUUGGAAGGGCUGAGGCUGAGAAAUGGAGUGAAUUCCCUAUGGGUAGCUUUUCCAUUUCCAGGAAGUAUGUGGUAAGAUUAUGAAGGGGAUCAAAAUAUGCCACCCAAAAAUAUGACAUUUCGGUGCAAGCAUUACUUUGAGCUAAAGGCUACUGAAUAAGAGCAGGCACAGAACAAGCUCUCUACCCUCCCCCUUUCUGUUAAAAUGCAGGGCAUAUGUUUUCCCUUUGAAAAGAAAAUUCAUUUGUAAAGAAAAAUUUCAUUUAUAAAGGUGUCCUCUCAUGGAUGAUUCCAGAGAUAGGGAUUAUCACCUGAGAUGACUUGAGUCUAUAUAAUAAUCUAUACUUACCAGGCAUUUUCUAGCCACCUUCUACAAACUUACCCCCAUCCUAGAUGCUUAAAUUCCAUUUGCCUUUGUCUAGUUCCUUCUCUAAACUUUAUCACCCUGUGUUAAGGUGGUAUAUAAUCCCCUAGGUCCAAGCACCUCUUCAGGGUCCUCACUUCUUUUCCAUGUGUCUCCCCAUGUGUACAUAC